CCUACGGGUGGCAGCAGUGAGGAAUAUUGGUCAAUGGACGCAAGUCUGAACCAGCCAUGCCGCGUGCAGGAAGACGGCUCUAUGAGUUGUAAACUGCUUUUGUACGAGGGUAAACGCAGAUACGCGUAUCUGUCUGAAAGUAUCGUACGAAUAAGGAUCGGCUAAAUCCGUGCCAGCAGCCGCGGUAAUACGGAGGGUUCAAGCGUUAUCCGGAUUUAUUGGGGUUAAAGGGUUCGUUGGCGGUCAGAUAAGUUAGGGGUGAAAUCGCGAGGCUCAACUUCGGGAUUGCCUCUGCUACUGUGCGGCAUGGAGGUAGUUGCGGUAGGGGGAAUGUAUGGGGUAGCGGUGAAAUGCU
rnacentral:rRNA from 1 species